AGUCCCCAUGCUGCCCUUUAAGAACAAUGUACUAAGCAGUCUGUUACUUACAUAGUUUAGCUAAUAAUCCAUGUAAAACAGCAACUAAUGCUUAGUCAGAAUUAUAAUGGCGGGAGUGAAUUCCACAUGCAGGCAUGAAAUUCUUGUUUCUGGUGUUUUCCAUCUGCACUCGGUGCCUUACAGGAAUAGAAUAUAUGUAGGCACAUCAUUACAGAAUUAGAAGAAAGUUUACAUUUAUUGGCAGGGAAGCAGAAAAAGUAGCUUCAACAACCUGAAAGACCAAAUUUUAUGUAGUUAGUUUAGGCUUUUGCUUUUAGUAUUUUCCUGUUACGUUCUUUGAUGAAAUCUUAAGUGUUGGGUCACUUUCCAAAGAACAGUUUAACCCCCCCCUCUCUCUCUGUGUGUGUGUGUGUGUGUGUGUGUGUGUGUGUGUGUGUGUGUGUACAGCAGGUGCACAAAUGCCUGUGUGCAUGAGACGGACAGAGGUCAAUCAAUGUUGGGUCUUCCUCCCACUUGGUUCUUUGAGAUAGGAUCUCUCACAGAUUUGGCAAGGCUGAGCACCCAGCAAGCUCCCAAACUCAUUGCCUCCCAGGCACUGGGAUGACAGACACAUCCCCCACAUCCCGCUCUGUACAUGGGUGCUGGGGUUCUGAACUCAGGUCCUCACAUUUGCACAGCAAGCUCUUUACCAACUGAGCCAACUCUCUAGCCUUGAAGAGUUUAUUUUUUUAACGUCUGAUUUAGAGAUUUCACGGGCAUUUAUAGUCGCCGUGUAAAAGAUACCUGAAACAAUCCAGUUGAAGUUAUUCUCUCUGCUUUGUACGGGAAAUCGAACUCAGAAAAACAACAGUCCGUUACCUGAUAAGCAUUUGUGAAAAUAUUCAACAUACCUGAGCUUAAAGGAGCCAGUCUGGCUAAGACUCUGGGACAGCCCUGGGCUUUUUUGUUUGUUUGUUCAUUUUUCAGUAAAGUUGUCAGUGUUUUCUUCUGGACAGCACAUGCAGUUCAGAUGUUAGUUGAGAAUCAGUGUGCUGGGGGAGGGGGGGGUAAACAGAUGAUUGAUUUAUUUAUGUGUUUUCUUAUUGUUUUUAUGGUGCGGGAGAACAAACGAAGGGAUUUAUGUGUGCUAGGCAAGCAUUCUAUCAUGAAUAGACAGGACCAUGUGACAGCCUGUCACUGCAGUGCUCCUGGGUUUAUAGCAUUCAAUCUUCACAGAGAAAAUAGCACAUAUAAAGCUUCAUCUGCUUGUCCUAGUGCUGUGCCUUGAUCCUCCCCUUUGAGCUCAUGAAUGCAUGUGUGUGCAUGCAUGCGCGUGCGCGCGCGCGCGCGCACGCACACACACACACACACACACGCUUUCUAGAAAGUUCCCCUUAAAAUGGUGUUCUUAUCAUUUUGGCUGGUGCAGGGGUGAAAAGGAAGGCUACCACUUCCAAGAUGGAGGACUGGUGUUUGCUGGGACCCUGUCAUUAGUAUCUGCAUUGCGCUAAAUGGUCCCAAUCUUGCAGGGGUUCCCGUCCUUGUGAAAGCUGAUGGGUGAGUUGACAGGACCUUCCAAGCCUGAGCUGCUGAGAUGUGGGCUCAGGUCUUGGAAACAAUAAAAGUGCAAUUUUCCAAGACAUUUGCUCGCAGAAGAGCCAAGAACAUAAAAGCCCAUUCUGUUAGCCUCCCGGCAAGUCUCUCCUCUCCUCUUAGUCUCAGACAGAGGUGGGGCUGUAUCCUGUCAGGUUAAUUAAGGGUGACAUGAAAAGUGACCUCAGCAUCUGCUGGCGGCUGCAUUGGUGGACACAAAUCUUCUGAUAUUGGACAAGGGACACUGCUUCUAGCCGGACUGAACCAGGAGAGCCAGCACCUCAGUGAGUUCCUAAGAGUGGCCCAGACCCUUUACAGCAUAGCACAAAUCUCGGAGAGGUGCUCUUUCUGCCUCACAGAGCAGGAAGGUUGUAUGUCCUGGACCCAAGGUCUCCAGAGAGCUUGAAGGAAAGAGGCCUGGAUUUAGAGGAUAUGAAGGCCUUCAGUAUUAUCUUGGCUUUCUGGCUUGGUGUGGAACAGUCAUUGGUGAACCUCAGCCUAGCUCAUCCCAUCCAUGGUGUGCUGGACACUGUCUCACUUAACAUGCAUAGAACUGCUACUGAUACUCACCCGUGCUGUUUCUUUUUGGCUCACAGCAGUUGUGUAACAGUUCACUUCCUAGUCCAUCCUGCCAUACCCUUGUGCUCUGUGGAUGUCUGAAGGCAGCAGGGAAGCCAUGUAUUUGAAAGAUGUUUCAGUUUAAAGAGUAGAGUAGGGUCUGGAGAGAUGGCUCAGAGGUUAAGAUCACUGACUGCUGUUCCAGAGGUCCUGAGUUCAAAUCCCAGCAACAACAUGGUGGCUUAUGACUAUCUCUAGUGGUAUCCGAUGAUCUCUUCUGGUGUGUCUGAAGACAGCUUCAUAAAGCAUCAUAAUGAAAUCUUUAUUAAAAAAAAGAAAGAGUAGAGUAAAUCUCACAUCCACCUCUUUAAGGGUUUCAAAACUGUAAGCCCUAAACUUGGGUAACGAUAUAUAUGGCCACGUGGCUGAUGGCUUAGUGAAGAAAGUCUCUAUGGGGUGAUUGAUGGGGCAUUGUGACAGUUAAACUUAUGCCUUACCCAGAGGAUGAUUAGUUCGUUCUCCCAGAGGGGAUGGAGGAGGCCAUGUGCUAUGGGGCAGGGUUAGAGCACUAGCGUUUAUCUCUGCUUCUCUACAGCAGAAGCAACAUGGCCGACUGCUUCAUGCUCCUGCUGCCAAAAUGGCCUCAGACUAUAAGCCAACCUUCCUUAGACUGCUUUCUGUCACAGCAUUAACAAAGAUGAAUACUAUACUUUUAAAGACUAAGCUUAAGUGGAGUUCUAAUUGGGUAGUCAAUGAGGCUGGAUACUCUAGUCUGGGGCUAUAAAGAGGAUAUUCUAGGCUAUAUCUAGUCCCAGUCUAUCACUAAAGGCCUAUAGGAUUCAUUACCUUGAAAAACAAGCUUUUACUCAAAUUAAGACGAGCAUGGCUCCCGUGAAAACAAGAAUAGGUCCACUGUCUAACACCAGACACACUGGCAGCUUAGGUGUUGUGGAGGCAUUUUCUCUUAGCUUGAGCAAUUUUCUGUAGCUUCAGGUACACUGUUAAAUAUAGAUCAGCUUUCUUGAGUUCAAAAGAGGUAUGAAAAAAGAAAAGAACAGGUAAGUGGAUUUGAAAUAGCAUUAGCAAGCUAUCAGACCUACGUAUUACCAUGCUGGAGAAUGUGUGCUCUCUGGCUUGAGGAUUGAGACUUCUUUAGUGUCUGACUAGAGUGCUGUGUUCUAAAUCCCUCUACCAAAUGAACUGUGGGAAGGAAAGGGGAGACAGGCAGUGUACUAUGCCCAAGUCUCCUGGUUUUGAUUUGAAAUGUCCCUGAGGGGCAUUGUGAUGGUGUGCAUAUGCUUGUCCCAGGGAGUGGCACUAUUAGGAGGUGUGACCUUGUGGGAGUAGGUGUGCCACUGUGGGCGUGGGCUUAAGACCCUCAUCCUAGCUGCCUGGAAACCAGUAUUCUGCUAGCAGCCUUCAGAUGAAGAUGUAGAACUCUCAGCUCCUCCUGCACCAUGCCUGCCUGGAUGCUGCCAUGUUCCCACCUUGAUGAUAAUGGACUGAACCUCUGAACCUCUUCCUGACUGGCCAGAGGGACACAACUCUCCAUAAUGAAUUCUCUUUGCUGUUCUGCCUUGCCUUGGUCCCAAAGCAAGGGAAAUGGUUGCCUAUAGACUGAAACCUCGGAACCCUGAUGCUGCCUCUCGUAAGAUGCUUUACACAGAUAAGGGAGAAAAGAAGACACUAUGUCCACAGAGGCAGAGACUGAGCAGUAUGACCACACAUCAAAGACCCCACCAAUCUUCAAAGCUGAAACAUGCCAAGAAUGGCUCACUGAAGUCCCUGGAGGGGUCAAUUCUGUGUCAAUGCCUAACUCCAGUCUUGGCCAUGUUUAUAGACUUCUUACCUCCAGCGUGAGAGAAGAAAGAAGUCUGCCACACGACUCCAGGUUUACUAUGUAGCCCAGGAGAAUUCAAAUUUAUCUUCCUGCUGGUACUUCCCAGGUGUUUUGGUUACGACAUGUUCAGAUUUUAAUCACUUAAGAGCAGAUAAGUAAGUACCAGUUUAAAAUUUCAGUUUGCUUUCAGAAUUUAAUGCAAUUAGCAAUCCUAUUUUAUUUAGAGUUGGAGAUUUCAGCUAGGAAUUGAAGCUGGGGGUGGAGGUUGGAUUUCAUGUUGCCGAGGACUGGGGCUGGGACUAACGGCUCUGUGAUCUCGUUGCAGCCUUUCUCUGCUGUAGGCUGCUGCCUUUGCAAGUGCUCAUGAUAGAGGUGAUGACCGGAAUGUGUCACCACAGAUGCCCUUGUCUCUCCUAGUGCAUCGGAUAGGAAAGUGUUGACGACAGGGUGUUCUUGGGGGCUUUAGUAUCAAGUGGCCCAGCAGAUGGGUAAUUGAGCACUCAGUUGUGCACUGUUUAAAUUGACUGUGACCUCAGGGUCUGGCAUUAAGCAAAUAACAGUGAAAUCAGAUGGUUGAGUGAUGCUGUCCUUAUAGGUGAUGGGGCCCCUGGGUAUUUGGAGAGCAAGCUAUUCUUGUCAUCUUCCAGAGCAACUGCAACAGAUUUGGGCAAUUGUCCAUUUGCAAAUCAUUGGCCACACUUUUGACCCCAUAUCCUCACCAUGAGUUAAUUCAGAGAGCAAAGCUGCAAUGUUUUUCCAGACACAGGGAGGCAGAAGUAAAUGAUUCCCUCUUGCUCUAGCUAUUAGCAGUGACCACAAAAACCAACCUGAUCAUGGCUUAAGGGUGUUCCUAUAGAAAUGUACAGGGAAUGUGAUAAAGGACAGUAGCAAGAAGAGGAGAGAGGUUGGAGCUAGAUAGCGUUUCAGUUUUGAUAGUGUAAUAACAUUUUAUAUUCAGGCCCCAAACACUGUUGCCUUUUCAGUAAAAUAAACCCAAUCUGGAGCUCAAACCACAUAGCAGAUUUCUAAUUGUAAUAGUAUCAAAAGGUAGAUAGCACUAGAAUAACAUGAGGAAUGGAAGGCUUUGGGGGUGUUGCUGUUCAGAUAAAGCAGCAACUACAGCAUUGUAUGCUGUUAUGGUUUGAGGGUAUCAUGUCCCCAUAGACUUACGUGUUUAAGCACUUGAUCCCCAGAUGGUGACGCUGUUUAGGAAGUUAUGGGACCCUUAGGAGGUGGAGCCUCAUGAGAGAAGGUAGGUUGUUGUGCAUGUUUGUGUGCUUGUGCUGUGCUCUCUGGUUGUGUGUGUGUGUGUGUGAGUGUGUGUGUGUGUGUGUGCGUGUGUGUGUGUCUGUGUGUGUCAUCAUCACCUGAGGUUUUCUAGUUUAGUCCUACUUCCUGUCUGUUCUUCUGAUUGCAGAUGUGACCAGCUGUCUCCUUCUGCCACCACACUACUCUUACUACGAUGGGCUAUAUGCCUUUGAACUGUAAGUCGGUAACGAAUCUUUCCUGCCUUAAGUUGGUAGUGUCAGAGAUAUUUGGUCACAGCAGUUGGAGAAGUAAUUAAUCCAUCUACCAAAUAUACUUAUUCUAGUCAUAUAUUAAGAGAUUUUGGAAAUGUUCUGAAGGUGGGUCUGUAGAUUUUAUGAACCACCUUGAACAGUGGUCCUAGUCUUCCAUUUUCUACCUGGCUCUCAUAUGUACCCAAUUGUGAUGGCUAAUCUCAGUUGUCAACUUGACUGUAUCUGGAAUGAAUUCCAGAAAUAGAGGGCAUACCUGUGAUCCAGAUCUUGAGACUGGAAGACAUGAGUUUUUUGAUCUGGAUCUCGUAGCAUAGUGGACAGGAAAAGCAAGGUGAUACAGGCCUUUAAUCCCAGUAGACAGAAGCAACCAGAUCUUUGAGUACAAGGCCAGCCUGGAACAUAGCAAGCUCCAAGUAAAGAACAGCUUAGGUUUAAGUGUGGUGGUACACACCUUUAAUCUGGGCCAUACCUUCUGAUGGAGUGCUACAUACAAACAUAGGAAGAAGGAAGGCUUUUUUUCCAGCUUAUACAGAAGACCAGCUGAAGCACCUAGCCUUGUGUGGCACUGAGCAACUACCGGAUUCUUGGACUUCCUAUUCACAACUGCACAUUGUUGGGCAUCCACAAAUGCAUGCCCUUCCACUAUGUAUCAUCCUAGUUGAUCACCACAGAAAGCUUUCAAAAUUGAGCUGCCAUUCUAUGCCAGGUACUCUCUGGAUUUCACUGAGUACCACCUAGAGGGCCAUCAGUUCUAGGGAACAAGGGAUAAUCAAGAUCCAGCUGAAACCUCCAUCUCAGGCAGCUUUCUAGUAUGGCUCAUUUUACUAAGCCUUGUGGGUUGGAUCCUUGACAGAAAUAUCCAAAGUGGACUUUUCUCUGUUCAGUGCUUUUGAAAGCGUUCCCUUGAGAUGACAGCCUUUAUGUACCCCAUUGACUGUUGGCUUGGGAUUGGCACUCUGGUCUUACAAUAGAAGCAACCAGUCAAGUGGCUAUGAGCAAUCUGGAAUGAUGUGAAGCAGUGACCACAGUGAUGGUUUAGCAGCACUGUCCUGAACAGCCUUGCAAUUCUUUUCCUCAAAUGCAGCUCCUACAUGGGCUAGGUGAAUGAGGAGCUGUAUGUCAGUGUCACCAACAGUCUUUUGGGACAGAAUGAGAAGAGAAUAAGAAAGAAAUUGUCCUGGUUGAUUUUUCUGAUGAGUUGAUAUAGUCUAGAGUCAUCUCACUUGAGAAAUUGUCUCCAUCAGAUUGCCUGUAGUGUAUUUUCUUGAUUAAUGAUUGAUGUAGGAGGGUCCAGUUCACAGUUGGUGGUUCCACCCCUGGGCAGGUGGUCCUGGGCCUUAUAAGAAGGAGGACUGAGCAAGUCACAGAGAACAAGCCAGUAAGCAACAUUCCUCCAUGGCCUCUGCUUCAGUCUCUGACUUCAUGUUCCUGUGUUGAGUACCAGCCCUGGCUUCCCUCAGUGAUGGACUAUGGGCUGAGAGACAUAAAGUAAACCCUUUUGUCUCCAAGUAGCUUUUGGUCAUGAUGUUUCAUCAGAGCAUAGAAACAAAGCUAUGACAGAGAUAGUGGGUGGGAGAGAAGAAACCAGAACUACUCCACUGACUGAAGAAUGAUUUAAGGCCACAUAGAGUAAGGAGAGCUGCCUACACCACAAGCUCCCUGCAGGAGAUGCUGCCCCCGGUCUGUUUCUAUGACAACUGGAUGAAGACCUCAAAAGAUCUAACUUGAGUCUGUGCUGCACAGGGAUGAUUAAUGAGACAGGGAAGCGGCUGUGUUUGUCACGUCUCAUGAUCACACAUAUGUAAUUUAUAGUUUAAGUCUCAGCGAAAAGUUGCUGUACCCACAACCUUAGCUUCUGGCUUGUAAUUGUGGACCUAUAGUCCUGUGAGUCUCUAGAGCCUGCACAAGUUGCUUUCAAGAGUUUUUUAGAGCCCUCUAUGCCAUUCUAGUGUAGAGCUCCAUUUGCAAAGCUAACUGAAUUUCAAUUAAUAUAUCCAAGAGGGGUGAUCCACAUCAAAGGACACUCCUUGACUUGGAACCUUUGUAGGUACCUCAGUGGUGUUGAAGGAUGCUUCCCCAUCUGGGGGCUUGGUCACUGCAAUUCCACAGUGGUUUGCUUGAACCCCAAAUUCAAAUUGUUACAUUAUUUUAAUACAUGCAAUUAAAACAAGGCACGGCCCUAGUAGCCCAUUUGACAAAAAAAGGUAGACUGUAGACAUUUUGGUGUGUGGAACGCUGGCAAGAAUGUCAUGACUAAGCAGAUUAGAAAUUAAAGCACUAGCUGAGAAUUUCUUUCUCCAUUACGUCCAUAAAUAGCAACGAUUUGACAUGCAGAAUCGAAAGUCAGUCAUUAUCGGGGAAAAAUUACUUCUGAUCUUUUUCUUUGCAUGGCUGAUUUAUUCUCCUCCACUGUCAAGGGAAGACUUUUACCUUAAAAAUAUUCCCUCUUUUAACUCUCCCAUUUCUUUAUCCCCCUUGACAGGAGGAUGGCAGCAACUCUAUCGAAUGGCAACAAGCUGAGAUAUGUUGUUAAAUUUUAAUCAUCCUCUUGCCUGUGAAGCUGAUAAUUGGGGCUGGUUUAACAGCGCUGUUCUGUCAGUCUCUAUAAAUCCCCUGCCAGGAGCCUCCUGAGUGGCUGAGAUCUCCAGUGUCACUGUAGCCCAAGCUUAGCAUUGAUUUCACAAUCAAACCAAGAAGCAGCACCCAAAACGCUGUCAGUCCAAGCACCCCAGACCAGAGGUUACACUUUAUUUCUUCCCUCCAAUGGGAUGAAUGGUGAAUGAAUAAAUUUAGAAAUAAGUAAAUUUAGUGAUUUAGAAACCAGCUGGUCAACCUUCUUUAUUAGAGACCUAGUCCCAAUCUAGUCUGCCUUGUUCCGUCCAGUAAAGACCCUUUCUCAGUGGUCAUCAGAAGCUACCCCAUCUUGGGGAACAGGGCAGGGUCCAAUGGAAACUCAGCUGUGCAUCUGAAGAUGUCUUUAAAAAUCAAGUCCAUUAAUUUAACAAAAUCAUCUCCUAAUUUUCCUCUACUUUUCUCACUGACAAAUGGAUGAUAGCGAGUGUUCUCUGCUGGUCCAGUUCUGAGCAUCCAAACUUUCCCCUUGAGUUAGUGUCCUCUGUAUCUUGGGACUCACAGGUACAGUCCUGCUCUUUUAAGCUUUUUGUGUGAAUUAGUGUCCUCUGUGUCUCAAGACUCUGUGGUAAUUUUUACCUACAUCUUUUCUGCUUUUCAUCUCAUCUCUGGAUAAUUCUUUCUUUGCCUCCAUUUCUGAGCUCUACCUGAACAAAUUUCUAAAACUGGAAGGAAUUGCACUGCUGGAAGCAUCAAAACUCCAUUCCCAAUUCUUUACUUUUAAAAGAAACCUUUAGUAACAGGACUUUUUUCAUCAAGUUCUGGGGUGUAACCAAAAGCAUUGGCAAUAGCCUGUAAUGCUGGGGUCUCUGUGGCCAAAGCCUUCAAGAAAGGUACCUAUUCCUGGUACUGGGUAUUUUAUUUGUCAAACCAUGGUGCCUAGUGGUAGCAAUGCUGCCAAGUUACAGGGUGACUCCACUUAAGUUUGUGUAUGUACAGCAUAGUCUAGUCUGGUGUGGUCUGGUCUGGUCUAGUCUAGUCUAGUCUAGUCUAGUCUAGUCCAGUCUAGUCUAGUCCAGUCUAGCAUAGCAAAGCAUAGCAUAGCAUAGCAUAGCAUAGCAUAGCAUAGCAUAGCAUAGCAUAAGGUUUCUGUAUGACUUCAUGAAAUUGUGUGUGUGUGUGUGUGUGUGUGUGUGUGUGUGUGUACAUCUGCACAUUCAUGCCUAUAUACCAUGGUGCUUGUAUGGAGGUCAUAGGACAGCUUUCUGGAACCAGUGUGAUUUCUGAGGUUGAAUUCAGGUCAUCAAGGAUUGGCAUCAUGUGGGUUUACACUGAGUCAUCUUGCUGGCCCAGGGUUAUCUUUAUCUUUUUCUUUCUGUUUUGUUUUUGAAAGAGAGUCUCACUAUAUAGCCCUGUCUGACCUUGAACUUACAGCAAUCCUCCUGCCUUAGCCCUUGAGUAGUAGGAUUGUAAGCAUGUACCCCAUGUCCUCAUUAUUUCCUUUGUUCUUAUGUGUGCAUGUAUUUCUCAUUAUGAUGAUCCACAGCAUAAGACUCAGGGAAGCAGCUCUCGGCUGGUAACUCCUGGCUACUGUUUUUCUCUUCUGUAGGAUUCUGCUUUGCAGGCUCCUUCAGAUUUCCUCUUUUAAUGGCAUUUACCAGGUGCCUAAUUAUGUAUCAGGUACCAUCCUUUAUGUGGGAGAAUGUGGCAGUCAAUAGGACAAAACCUGCAUACAUAGAGCUUGGAUGAUUGAUGAACAUGGUGGUUUUUAACUUGUGGUCUGCCCGUGUGGGUCUCGGAAAUCUGUUUUAUCCUCUUGUACACGUCCGGUAGGCCCAGUGCUGGGUUGAGAAUGGUUUCAGGCACAGAAGUGAAAUAAUAAAGUUUGGAAAAUUAAGAGCCACGAGGAAGCUCACAAAGGUCUUCACUGGCAUUGUGGCGUAAGUAACUAAUUCAUGUCUGCUCCUGCUUUAUUGUUAGAGGUCUUGUGCUUGGCUGGUUUCCCCUAAGGAAUACAUUGUAUAAUUUACUCUCAUGUUGGUCAGCUAAUCUCUUAAAGCAGAUUAAGAUUCUUUCCUACUAAAGUCGAGAGGCUAAGAUUACUUCAGAUGGAUAUUAGUAUCCAACAGGAACCAGAGAGACCUGGUGAGCUAAUUCUGCGAGAUUUACAUGCCAGUGGAGGCUCCGGCUACAUCACAGAUACUCACAGAGCAUAACAUUCUCUGUUAGGGGAGUGGUUCACUUGUCCUUUCUCCUUCCCGUUUCAAAACUUUCCUUGUACACAGGGCUCAUGCGAACAAUUACGGACCGUCAUUUAGCUGCUGUCUGCCAGAACAAGGUGUUAGGUCGUUGAGCAACACCCCAUAGAAAUCGCAGUACCACGAUACAUUGUUACUGGCCAACCUAUCUUCACGCAGCUGGUGACUCCCUCCACUUUAACAUCUCCCCAUGAGAGUUCAGACCCAAUUCACAAGUCAAGACUCUGCCUAGACAGGGUGGUGACUGUGGGAGUCAUGACAGUGGGUGUAAUUACAGAUUUUCUGGAAAGAUUUUUGCCCCACUCCUUCCUCCUGUCUUCUCUGUGUUCCUAACAGUCAUUUCUUCCAAUUUUAUUUUUAAAAUCCAUUUCCACGUGAAAUGCCUUUGUUUAAAGAUGUACUCUGAGUAUUUUAAUUUCCUUCUGAGGUAGAAAUUCUCCUGCCUGGUCAUAGGUCUUACGGUAGUGAUGUUAAAGCCCACUGUUGUCACAACUUGGUGACUCAGGAAAAGAAUGGCAAUGGAC